GGUAGCAACUGGGGUUUAAAUCAUUAAGUUAUGUAAUACUCAAGUUAUGUAGGCUACAUAUGCAUUACAACUAAAAUCCAGCAUCUAAUGAGGAAGGCUGUGAUGAAUUUUCCUCCUGUUUGCUUUUUCCUAUUUCCUUUUCUCUGAAAUGCUUCUCACAAUGUUGGGCCUUCUAAGAGACAACACUUGCCUUCUGCUUUUCCUCGAGCUUCUGGACAAAAUAAACUGCCUUCCAUUGGAUGUCUUCCAGACCGUCCUAUAGGAUCUCACACCCACCUCUGUGAGCAAACCAAGAGGGAGGGGGGCCCCAUCAACAUUGACAGGAACACGAUUGUAGGGCUGUAAUUUUAUUUCAUCGACUUUCUUUUGCAGCUUGCCUGUCUCUCCCAUGUCUGCCACCCGCAGCAGGAGAUUAAAAGAACAGAGGAGCAUUCUUUCCCAGACUAUUACUCUUCAUUCACUUUAAAUGGAUAAACAAGGAGAGACAUCUGUUCCCUCCAGUUCUACCAGAGCCAGAUGGGCCUUGCUCUCUUGUUCAGAAACACAAAACAGUGAGUUCAUGUUGCCUUUAAUGGGUCCAUGACUUUCCAACCAACCCUGCAGUCUAGAGAGACGCUUCACAUAGCCAUCCAGUGAGCAGCCGUCAGCUAAUGACCAGAAGCAGUACUCCUGGAGAAGGACCCAGAACACUGCCUUGGGACCUGGCAGUGGAGGAGUCCCAGGUGGUCUUGACUUCCUCUCCCAUGAACUUUUAAGGAGCUUAUAAAGUCCUAAGCAAAAGAACAAUCCAGGCACUUUCAUGGAAGUGUCCCUGGACAAAGAAGACUCAACUCUUGGUCAGCUGGAGGCAUGAUAGUGUUCCUUAAUGUGAAAGAACAUAAAAGCAGCCUUGAAAUGUGGUCACCAAUAUGGAUGGAUCUGGAGGCCAUAAUCCUAAGCUAACCAGCAAACCAACAUAGGAACAGAACCAAAUACCACAUGUUCUCACUUGUAAGUGGGAGCUAAACAAGAGAAAAGCAACAGUGAACAGCUACGACCUAGAACUUGACGGAGGUUUGAUCCACAGAGGAACAGAGAAAAGCACUUGCUCACAUCCAUCCCGUGCUCCUAGGAAGCAGAUGAUGUGAUGGAUUACCAGGUCUUCUGGCAGCAUUUUCCGAUUUCACCAACAGUUUCUCCUAGGGAUUGUUUGGAAUAGGAACAUGGACCCAUAAACUUUUCCUUUUCCCACUCCUGAAGCCUUUUGGUAAACUACCUAAUUAUCUGCUGUUCUUGGCCCUUAAAGUUAUUUAAAAGUAAUACACAUUUGUGGAUUUAACAUUUUGAGAGAUAAUGGCUACUUGAAAAGUUCUAAAAAGAAACCAACAGAAAUUAUCAUAUAAAGCUUGAACAUGUAAGUUCCUAUUCCCUGCUUCUCGUAUUUCCUUUAGUAAAUGGCACUUUUUUCAUGGUGUGUCCAAGUUAGAAAAGUGGGUUAUCCUAGACUUCCCUUUUCUAAUGUUUUCCUUCUCCUUCAUUCUUCCUUCCCUCAUACCUUACCCAAUCGCUGUGCAGUGCCUUGCCCAAUUAUAUGCAUUUGAUAAAUAUUUGUUGAAUCACCGCCAGGAAUAGCCAAGAGUUACAAUGUACUCUAUGUACCAGGCAUGUGUGUUCACUCAUGUAAUAUUGACAACAACUUCAUCAUUCUCAUCUAACAGAUUCGGAAGCUGAGGAAUAAGAGAUUAAGUGAUUUGCUCAGUCACAUGGCUAGUAAAAAUGCUUUUUAAAACCAGGUAGUUUGGUUUCAAAGUUCAUCCACUCAAUCACUAUUCUUUACUGUCUCUAUCUUGAGACAUUUAGGUUUAAUCUUACCAUCAGAGUAAGGUAUAUUUAUUCCAAGCUAAAUAAAACAGUAUACUGCUUGUGCUCAGCAAUUAUUGUCCUUCAUUUGUCCUAUAGAUAUUGCUUGUUUUUAAUUUAUCUCACCUUCCCAAUUUAACAGUGUGUCUUGGAGCUCUACCGUGACCAGUGCAGCACCCCACAGUGGUAUAAAGCAACUCUCUCAUUCCUCUCUAGUUGCCUAAUGGCACCCCUGUUCCCUGCCUGCACAUGAGUCAGCAGAAUGGGGAGGAACGGGGGAGAAGAAUUGAAGGGUAAAUUGAGGCAACAUAGAAAGGGAACAGAAUAGAGUUGAUUAACCACUGGGAAGAUUCAGAAGUCUAUGAACAAGGUGUUACGUGAUUCAUGCUGUGUCUUAGGAAGGGAAAUUUGUCAACACUGCAUGGGACAGACUGAUGGGGACAUAUUGGGAUAUCACUUUGUCAGUUCUGCCCCUAGAGCUGCCCAGACAUCAUGAGGGCUUCACGCUGAGCAGUGUGGACAGGAAUGUUGAAACGGAGUCCAGAGAUAUUUUGGAGGUAGAAUUGGCCUCUGUGCCUGAUUAGAUGGAGAGGGUGAAGGAGAAAGGAGACAAAGGCAUCCUCAGAGGAUGUGGACAGAGAGGCUGCGAGAAUGGUAACAUUUAUAGUUAUAAAUGUGCACCGGUUAUGGUGGUAAACAAGAUAGAAAUAGGCCUGCCCUCCUGAAGGUUGUAGUCUGGUGGAGACACAGUAAAAAAGCAAGCUAGUAAUAUCUAUCAAGUUCUACAAAAGAAACCUAGACAUCGAGUAUGAGGUGGAGAGGAAGAAAGAAUGUCUCCUUAGAGGUAGAAAAAUAAGCAGUAGAGUCCUGUGUUAGAAGUCAAGACAGCAGUGAAUUUCAAUGAAAACGGAAUGUUCAAGAUCAGACAUUAGGAGGUCAUAUGACUUAGCAUUAGAUGGCUAUUAAUGGCCCGCAAGAGCAGAGUCUGUAGAGCAGUGGAGGUAGAAAUUGUGGGCAGCUAGUUGAAAAGGAAGUGAGGCAUGAAGAAGCUGUGAAAAUCAACCCAUACCAACUGUUUUGAAGGUCUGGAAGGUGAUAAAGUUGUCAGAUUCAAAAUGGAGUCACUCGUGUCAAACCCUGGCAAAAUGGAGCUGGGAAAGGCCUUGAAGAGAGGGCUCUCACACAUGAUUUGCCUGAUAACAGGAACCAGGACAAGACACUUUUCCAUACUGCAGCUUACUACAUGAGUCACCCAAGGACAGCUAGUGGCUUAUACCAGAACAAUUGCCUGACACACUGUCUCACAGGCCUAAUCCAAAACUACAAGAGCCUAACUAGUACUCCAAGACUCCAAGUCCUACCUAGCAAACACAGACCCUCACUGAUCAAAACUCACCAGCUCUUAGAAGGCACUGCCAGCACGAAUUGACUUUCCUUCAAAUCAACUUGUAUAACCUCCUCAUUCCCCCCAAAAAACCCUAACCAUUUUCCUUUGUUCUUCCAGACAUACUAGAGGCCACCCUGUUCUGUGUGUAUGUCCCAGAUUAUAAUCCCACUUCUUGCAUAUUAUUCUCAAAUAAAACCUUUUCAUUUGGGGAUUCAUCUCUGUCUAUUUUUUUAUGUUGGCAAAGAGAAGGAGAGAAAUAGGAGGUUAGC